rnacentral:rRNA from 1 species
GAUGAACGCUGGCGGCGUGCCUAAUACAUGCAAGUCGAGCGAACAGAUGAGGAGCUUGCUCCUCUGACGUUAGCGGCGGACGGGUGAGUAACACGUGGAUAACCUACCUAUAAGACUGGGAUAACUUCGGGAAACCGGAGCUAAUACCAGAUAAUAUAUUGAACCGCAUGGGUCAAUAGUGAAAGACGGUUUUGCUGUCACUUAUAGAUGGAUCCGCGCCGCAUUAGCUAGUUGGUAAGGUAACGGCUUACCAAGGCUACGAUGCGUAGACGACCUCAAAGGGUGCUCGCCCACCCUGGAACUGAGACACGGUCCAGCCUCCUGCGGGAGGCAGCAGUAGCGAAUCUCCCGCAAUGGGCGAAAGCCUGACGGAGCAACGCCGCGUGAGUGAUGAAGGUCUUCGGAUCGUAAAACUCUGUUAUUAGGGAGGAACAAAUGUGUAAGUAACUAUGCACGUCUUGACGGUACCUAAUCAGAAAGCCACGGCUAACUACGUG